CGAUCUCUGAUAAAGUUUCCAUCGGUGUCAGAUUUCAGAAAUCAUAUCCCGCUUUGAGCGCAAAGGUUAUAAGCUUGUCGCCAUCAAGAUUUUGGUUCCUUCAAAGGAUUUUGCCCAGAAGCAUUAUCAUGAUCUCAAGGAGAGACCAUUCUUUAAUGGCUUGUGUGAUUUUCUUAGCUCUGGACCAGUCAUUGCAAUGGUUGGAAGAGUUCCAUCUGAAUCUGCUUGCUUCACACUAUUCUUUCGGGAACUGAGCUCAAUUUUUUACUUCUUCAGGUUUGGGAAGGUGAAGGAGUAAUAAAAUAUGGUCGUAAACUUAUCGGAGCUACAGAUCCCCAGAAAUCAGAACCCGGAACCAUCCGAGGCGACUUGGCUGUUGUGGUUGGAAGGUAAGUUCUUCCCUUCUGAAUCUUGUCAGAUAGACGUGAUCAUUAAACUGCAAAUUUUCGGGAUAUUAAACUUCAUUUAAAAAAAAAAAAAAUGUUAAACCCUAACCUUAAGAGUCCCCCACCAACCUUGCCUUGGAGCAUCGUUAGUUUCAUUGAACUUAAAACUGUAUUACAAUUUUAUUGCUCGGGCCAUUUCCAUUAGCUGACUAACGGAAAAGUUGAUGUAGCACAUUAGUUACCCUAGCUUCUCUGUUGUUCAAUGACCUACUUGGAAUAGAAAGGAAAAAACGUAAAAGUUCAAGUGCCAACAUGAAAUUUUGCCAAAAGUUGAGCGAGUACGAGUGUAUAUAUUUUCCCCUUUUGGUCCUCAUUUUGUGGAAAUGAAAAUGGGUUGAACAGUGUUUUUUUGAAAAAUGAGCGAUUGAAAAAGAAGGAAAAAGUUUUUGAUUUACGUGUAAUAUUAUUUUAUGGAAGAUUGUGUGAUUAAAAAUAGGAAAGAGAAAAAUGAAAUGUAAUGAAUGAAAAUUAAUGGGGGCUAAACGGGGCAUAAUUCCUUCCAAGUAUGCAAUGCAACAGUUGAGACCCACGUUACAAUCACACCAUAAAGCUUCUAAUCUUAACCUUGAAUCUCUUAUCUUAAUCAACCAUAAGAAGAAAAUGUGCUAAGAAGUAUUUUGUGCUUUGAGUGUAUAUAUUUUCUCUGCUUGAUCAACGGAAAUGGAUAUCUCAUCUGUAUGAUAAUUCUCUGCUCCAGAAAUAUAAUCCAUGGAAGUGAUGGCCCGGAGACAGCCAACGACGAAAUCAAACUAUGGUUUAAACCCGAGGAGUUGGUCAGUUACACGAACAACGCUGAGAAGUGGAUCUAUGGAGUCAACUGACGACACUCACUCUCUUCAAAAACUUCACGCAACUCAUGUCCCGCAUAAAGAGUGGGUACUUAGAAACAAAAUUAUCAGAACAGUGUCAGCUUCUUUAGUCGGCUGAGAACAUUAUUACGUGGGCAACCACCUGCCGAGCUUGAACUUGAAUAACGCACUACCCACUCGUGACUCUUGAUUACGGCAUCUUAUGCCCUGUGUAAUAAUGUGGUUACACCUCUCUAUUUCACAAGGCAUUUUCAGGGAUUGUUUUACAUUUUUUGAAAAGUCAAAAUCACCUUUUGAAAUUCAGAAA
rnacentral:lncRNA from 1 species